UUCCCUAUCACCAAUUGCUACCAGAAAAAAUUGCAAGGAAAACGAGGUUAUAUAAAGCUACUAAUCAAGUGUGCCAUUUAUGCUCUGCAGUCAUGCAUUGAAGUUCAACACCUUCAUAGAAAGUAUUAAACAAUACAGUCCAAACAAAAUAUAACGAAAGGGAGGUUAUAGCUUGAGAUUAGGAGACAUCAGAAAGGGGAAAUCAGAAAGCAAGCACUUAGUAUUGAUGGGACUGACAGUGACAUCCACUGAAUAACCAUGUCGUCCUGUGCAUCCUGUGGUAAUAAGUCAUGGGGUGCUUGAGAGCCGUUGCGACGCAAUCGAACUAGUUAGGAAUAGUCGCCUUCUUUGGCGACAUGUUCUCAUGUGCAUCCACUGGUAACUCAGGGGGUCAUCCAGUCCCUCAACUUCUGGAGGAGAGAAUAGGUGCUAUUCCACAUUGAGCAUACUCGUCACCACAUUGGUAGGACAGAUACCACGUAGCAAUGUAGUGGAGGAGAUCGUGGAUGCUAGUCAGUGAGGAAAAACAUCAUUUGUGCCACCUGUGCGACCCGGUGUGCAUGGUAGCUACUCAUUCAGCGGUACAAAAAAAUAAAGAGUUCGAUUUUGACAUUUCUUACACCAAUAAUCCAUUUAGCGAGGUUUCCUUCGUUUUAUCUAAUUUAGCACAAGUUUUAUCAUAAUUUACCCUGUUUAAAAUUGUGUGGCCAUAU
rnacentral:lncRNA from 1 species